rnacentral:snRNA from 1 species
UCCUUCAAGAUAGACUCAGUA